AUGAACGCUAGCUACAGGCUUAACACAUGCAAGUCGAGGGGCAGCAUGAACUUAGCUUGCUAAGUUUGAUGGCGACCGGCGCACGGGUGAGUAACACGUAUCCAACCUGCCGAUGACUCGGGGAUAGCCUUUCGAAAGAAAGAUUAAUACCCGAUGGCAUAGUUCUUCCGCAUGGUAGAACUAUUAAAGAAUUUCGGUCAUCGAUGGGGAUGCGUUCCAUUAGGUUGUUGGCGGGGUAACGGCCCACCAAGCCUUCGAUGGAUAGGGGUUCUGAGAGGAAGGUCCCCCACAUUGGAACUGAGACACGGUCCAAACUCCUACGGGAGGCAGCAGUGAGGAAUAUUGGUCAAUGGACGAGAGUCUGAACCAGCCAAGUAGCGUGAAGGAUGACUGCCCUAUGGGUUGUAAACUUCUUUUAUACGGGAAUAAAGUGAGGCACGUGUGCCUUUUUGUAUGUACCGUAUGAAUAAGGAUCGGCUAACUCCGUGCCAGCAGCCGCGGUAAUACGGAGGAUCCGAGCGUUAUCCGGAUUUAUUGGGUUUAAAGGGAGCGUAGGCGGACGCUUAAGUCAGUUGUGAAAGUUUGCGGCUCAACCGUAAAAUUGCAGUUGAUACUGGGUGUCUUGAGUACAGUAGAGGCAGGCGGAAUUCGUGGUGUAGCGGUGAAAUGCUUAGAUAUCACGAAGAACUCCGAUUGCGAAGGCAGCUUGCUGGACUGUAACUGACGCUGAUGCUCGAAAGUGUGGGUACCAAACAGGAUUAGAUACCCUGGUAGUCCACACAGUAAACGAUGAAUACUCGCUGUUUGCGAUAUACAGUAAGCGGCCAAGCGAAAGCGUUAAGUAUUCCACCUGGGGAGUACGCCGGCAACGGUGAAACUCAAAGGAAUUGACGGGGGCCCGCACAAGCAGUGGAGUAUGUGGUUUAAUUCGAAGCAACGCGAAGAACCUUACCAGGGCUUGACAUAUAGAGGAAUAUAUAAGAGAUUAUAUAGCUCUUCGGAGUCUCUAUACAGGUGGUGCAUGGUUGUCGUCAGCUCGUGUCGUGAGAUGUUGGGUUAAGUCCCGCAACGAGCGCAACCCCUAUCUUUAGUAGCCAGCGGUUCGGCCGGGCACUCUAGGGAGACUGCCAGGGAUAACCUGGAGGAAGGUGGGGAUGACGUCAAAUCAGCACGGCCCUUACGUCCGGGGCUACACACGUGUUACAAUGGGGGGUACAGAAGGCAGCUACACGGCGACGUGAUGCUAAUCCCGAAAGCCUCUCUCAGUUCGGAUUGGAGUCUGCAACCCGACUCCAUGAAGCUGGAUUCGCUAGUAAUCGCGCAUCAGCCACGGCGCGGUGAAUACGUUCCCGGGCCUUGUACACACCGCCCGUCAAGCCAUGAAAGCCGGGGGUACCUGAAGUGCGUAACCGCAAGGAGCGCCCUAGGGUAAAACUGGUGAUUGGGGCU
rnacentral:rRNA from 1 species